UUGAUCUAGUUUUGAAAAGCAUAAUAUUUUCUUUAUUUCCUUAAAGUCUUGCGUGAUUUCCCAUAUGGCUUUAGUCUCUCUCUCUCUCUCUCUCUCUCUCUCUCUCUCUCUCUCUCUGGGUGUCAGUCCCCACACCUCGCCUCCCGUAAUGGUAAGAAAUUAAUGUUUUAUGGGACGCAGCAACACCCGCAGGUCGCCCUCCACGUGUUGAUGAGGAGAGUUCAUCAAUGCAACUCACGCACAGCUCUCCAUAUUGAUCCCUAUUAUUAUUCCUCGUCACUGCUUCCGCUCCUGCGUUUCUGUCGUUUUCUAUUCUCUUGUUCUAGUUUGUAUUUUCUUUCCUCUCUCUUCUUUUCUUUAUAUUUUCUUCCUUUCUUUCUCUUUGUCUGCAUCUUUUCCUUAUAUUUUUUUCUUUUUUUUUUCCUUUUUUUCGUUCUUGUUUACUUUUUACUUACUCAUUGCAUCACUUACAUGUUUUCCUCUCUCUCUCUCUCUCUCUCUCUCUCUCUCUCUCUCUCUCUCUCUCUCUCUCUCUCUCUCUCUCUCUCUCUCUCUCUCUCUCUCUCUCUCUCUCACACACACACACACACACACACACACACACACACACACACACACUUAAUUAAUCAGUGUGUGUCAAUUCAAGUAUAAUAACUGGAUGGCCAUCAAGAGCAAUAAUUUCACCUUGGCUGACUAGGUAACUGCUUGCCUCUUACAGUUAGGGUGACGUCUGAAGUGUUAAUUGAAUCUGCACCGAGCGGCCUUAACUGUCACGAGAGGACGUUAAGUGUUACAUAAUAAGGCCCAAUAAGAAGAUAAAAUAGAGUAUGUUAGUUUCUGUCAUGCACAUUUGUAUAGGCAUUUAUAUAUUGUUGUUAUUGUCGUUACUACUACUACUACUACUACUACUACUACUACUACUACUACUACUACUACUACUUCUCUUUUAUUUAUACUUAUAACUCUAAAUACUUCUGUUCACAAGUUAAGGAGUCUAUUGGUUUUAUUUCUGUUGUGUUCCUUCUCCAUGUAAUCUUUUUUUUUUCUUUCUCUCUUAUUCCUGCUUUUUUCUCUUUUGUUCUCUCUUUUUCACGUUAUAUUUCACUCAAUAUCUACUUUUCUCCUUUAUUUUCCUUUGUACAUAUGCAAUCCUCUUUUUUUCCUCUUUUAUUACUUAUAUGUCCCCUCACUAUCAUUUUAGCGUGGGUUUGUACUUAUAUUCUCAUUUUUCCCCCUGCAAAUUCUUUGUUGUUGCUGUUUUUGUUGUUGUUGUUGUUGUUGUUGUUGUUGUUGUUGUUGUAUUUCUACUCUCCUUCCUUCACUUAUACAUGAUCCUCCCUUUUUUCUGCGUAGCUAUUUACACUUUCCUUCCCUUUCCCUUUACUUACUUUCGCGAUUCGCUCUUCCUUCCUUGUGCAUUGAAAAAAAAAAAAAGGUAUACGUAGCAAUGAAAGCAAGGAAGUCAAUCAAGCCAUAGACAAAUUAGACUUAACAAGGAAUUACGUUGAGAAGUAGGAAGACAUUAACAGGAGCAUCGACCGUUAGCAGGGGAGGGAAGAAAUAGUGAGAAAUAUCAUGAAAUUGUCCGUCAUUAGUAGAGAGAGGUGAGGGUGAGAGGAGGAGGAGGAAGUUGGGGACGCGCGGAAGAAACAAGGAAGAGUCUAGAUUACAUAAGAUUAGCUAUGUAAGAACAGGUACAAGGAGACGUGCUGCUACUACUACUACUACUACUACUACUACUACUACUACUACUACUACUACUACUACUACUACUACUAGAGGGGUGAGGGAUGGAGUGAAGGUAAGGUGACAAAUUCUGAGAGACCGUGAGAGUAAAUUGGGGAUGAUAAGGGUGAUUAUAAGUGUAAUCUCAGAGGAGGUUAGUUUACGGAUAGAUAGAUGAAUAGAUAAAUAAAUAGAGAGGUAGAUGGAGAAAUAGAUGGAUAGAUAGAUAGACGGAUAGAUGAAUAAAUAGAUAGACAAGUAGAAUAAAUAGACGGGCACUAUAGACAGAUAGACAUAUAUUUACUAAUCACCACACCCAUUCAACACUCACUCAACAAACCGCUGGUGAUCACAACAUACAUUUAGAAUGAAGGUAAUUAACACGAGGCUUACAUAAUAUAACAAAUAAACGGGCCAGGUCCUCGCAAAAUCACCUUAUCAGCGCCAGGGGAUUAGUGGCGUGUUUGUCUGGCUGGGGAAGGGAAAGAGGUGAGAGAUAAGGAUCCGUAUUCCUAAACGCUUCAGCUGCAGUGAAAGUUAUCAAGGUUUUCAAGGACUUUUUUUUUUUCAUCCUUUUCACUGGUUAAAGUUCACUGGUAUUUCAUCCUUUUCACUGGUAAACUCUUUGGUAAACUCUUUCUUUCAAGAGGGAGGUUUGACUCUGUUCGGGCACCGGCACCUCACAAGGCUUUUUUUUUUUUUAUCAUUGUUAUAUUUUUGUUGCCCUUAGCCAGUUGCCCCUUCUACAUAAAAAAAAAAAAAAAACUCCCUGACUGUUUCUGUAUCCCAUCCUCCCUCUGACUUUAAUUCUCUCAAGAGUGAGGUCUCAAGACACCUCUGCAACUUUGGAUAAUCCAAAAACUAAGAGCAAAAGAUAAAGGUAAAGAAAUGAAUAGACAAAAAUAAAUAAAUAGGUAAACAGACUAAUAUAAGUAACUAGAUCAAUAGAUAAAAAAAAAAAAAAAGCUUGGGUUAUUUUGCUCGCUGCAUUUACUCGUCAUGGUUGUAGGAGGAUCAUUCAUAAGUUGUCAAUCUGCUUCCCUUUUUUGUAUAUCCCUCUCUUAUCACGGGGACUUCUCAAGGUCGCUCGUGUUCCCUUCCCUUAUCAGGAAUGACCUUGACUGGUACAAUGUCUCGUGCCUUAGUCUAGAGUGAGACAGUGGAGUUUUUAUGGGUAAGAAAGUGCACCUUCAGGAAUUUAGAAACAAGAAACGUUUUGAGGAUUUAGGGUCAAAGAGUGGAUUUUUAAAACGUCUUGCGACCGAAAUAGUGGACUUUGGGAAUUUAGAGUGAAAUAGUGGACUUUUAAGGGAUCAAAGUCCGAAAUAAUAGACUUUUUGGGAAUUUAAGAUAAAAUACCAGGUUUUUAAACGUCUUAGGGCCGAAACAAUGGACUGUUGGGAAUUUAGGGUGAGUUUUAAGGAAUCUAGUGAAAUAGUAGAGUUUUAAGAGAUUUAAGGAAUUAAUUACUCUUUAAGGCAUUUGGGAAUGAUGGAGUAAACUUUUAGGGGAUUAAAGGAUUCAAAUUUUACUAAAUAUACGUCAAGAGAGAAAAGACGUUGUUUUUUUUUUUUUUUUUAUGAGAAUUAAGGGCUCAGACUACAUUAGCUAAAGCUGUGGCUUGUUCAAGGAAUUCAAGAUUAAGGGUUCAAAUUCUACAUCAAUUAAAAAGAGUAGUAUUUUUAAGGGAUUUAAGUGUCCAAACUUCACUUCAGAUAAUGGAGUGAACUUUUAAGGAAUUGCAGGAUCCAAACUAUACAAAGUGUACAACAAGAGAGGAUGUCAUGGUAUCCCCUGUGUCUCCUUUGUGUGGACGUGUGGCCUUACAGCGGGGAAGGAGGGGCGUGAGAGGCUUGUGGAGGGAAAACCUACAUCCCAAGGUAUAACUCUCAUCGGCAUAUUUUUGAGGGCUUGUUAACAUCAUUAGUGAGUCAUUUCUCUGCUAAGUCGCGUAUAACAUUAUUGGGGGGGAUGAGGAAAGGAUACGAUAGUUUUCAGUACUGGUAUGAAGUUACUCUCACCUACAGCAUAUAACUGAGGACUUUUCUAGUAUUUUUAGUCACUUUAUUUCGUGAUAAGUCACGUCUGGUACUGUAGGGGGAAAAGGAAAAGGGUACGAUAAUUUUUAGUGCUGGUAUAAAAUUCCUGUUUACGCUAUGCAUGUUAACGUCUGUUCUUAGUGCUUCGUUCUCUCAUGUAUUUUUUUUUUUAGAUCAGAGAUGAUUCGUUAGGUUCUUAAUAGUCUUCCUUAUUGUUGAUCGGAAUACUUGUUGAACUACCCCUAAAAUCAAUCCACUAUCGCUGAAAACCCUGAAAACCUCGAUAACUUCCACUAGAGGCUUUUAAAAGUAUUCUACAUUAAACGUCGCAAUGUAGGAAGGAUGGAGGGAGGGAUGGUAAGAGUGGAGGACCGGAAGGGGAGGAGUCAUCAUCUCUCACCUUUCUAAUGAGGGGUAAGGGGGUGUAGGUUUAAGGACACCACGGAGGGGGAGGGGGAGGAGGGUUGUCAACGGGGAAGAACAGAGAAUACUUGAAUCAUGAGGUGAAGAAGAAACUCGCCUCCUUACCCCGCCACCUUGAGCCCCUUCUGACCACACGUGUCCUCGCCGCCUGUCCUGCCGGGGUGCACGUCAGGGUUUUCUCCCCCUCGCCCCCUUCCUCUGUCCCCUCGCCACUCGCCCGCUCCAGCUGCCGAGAAUCCGAGGUGACGGUCUAUCGGCUUAAUUUCGUACCUCAGAUGCAGCAUCGCGGAAAUCGAUAACAUAGAGUAUGUAAUUGAAAUACUUCCGUGUGUGCCCCGCUUUGCAGUUUGUACUCGUAGAUCCAGGGCUGUGUAGGGAUGUAGGAGUGACGAGGCGGAGUGCUCCCCAUACCAAGAUGAAGAGAGUCCCAUACCUUAGUCCACUCACACAUUGUCUUAUCACCAGCCCUAAUGGCUCGUUGACGCUGCUGAUCUUUAAAUUAUCUCGUCUCCAAACAUUCCCCUGGAGGAGAGACCCUUUCAGCUUCAUACCAGCGCCACGCUCCUCGGUCAUUCGCUCCACUCCAGGUCAAGGCCAUCACUGGUGCUAUCUUGGCUCUAAAACGGUGCAUGUGCAUAUCGUUCCUGUGGGUCUGUGGCAACCCGCAGCACGGCGCUCCCAACGCCAAUCUCCACCGCGGUGCCUCGCGCUUCCUUUACUGCUUUGUUGCGACUGUGGUGUUGCGUCUCGGUGAGGUCACGGAUUCCUUCUGAGUCAUUAUUCUUUCCGACCACACACACACACACACACACACACACACACACACACACACAGUACUUAGUAAAACAUGUAUCCUAUACCAUCUUUCUUUGAAACACACACACACACACACAACUACAUAGAUUUGGAAACAGAACGACACGAGUUUAAUUUAAAUCUCUUUACUGCUUUGUUGCGACUGUGGUGUUGCGUCUCGGUGAGGUCACGGAUUCCCUGAGUCAUUAUUCUUUCCGACCACUCUUCUGUCCUUUCGCUGAACUCUUAAUUUUUCUGCCUAGCUUCUCAAUGACUCAGCUUCCCAGUCCUAUAUUAAUUUCAUGCACUAGAAAAUGUAUACGGACCUAUAUUAAUGUAUUAUCAUAAGAUUUCAGUUAUACUUUAUUGACUCGGAAGCUUUAAACCAUUCUGAAAUUAUAUACCUUUGACGUCAGCGAACGUCAUGGGAGUAACGGUACAGUAGAUACCUCUUUUAACUUUCCAUUCGCAUGUUAAUACUGUUAACAAAGCUUAAUUGAUAAUGCCCAAAGAUCGAGUAAAUCAGAACUGCACAUUGACGCUCUUGCUUCACACACACACACACACACACACACGGUGUGUUGUGUGUGAGUGGUUCAAAGAUUGGUCAGUAUGAGCUCUGAGCUCUUUCCAUAGGGGGACGGCAGGCUGUCUCGAGAGAUCAGCCUGACUGUACAGUGAAUACACACACACACACACACCAUGCUUGAUUCUUGCUUUCUUUGUAAUAGUGAAACAUAGCUCAUGAAGAUCCACCAGGUACUCUCUUGACUUGGAAACUGAAUGAAUUACGAGGCGAGGCACUCACUUGGCUUGAGGAGACUGAAUGAAUUACUGGGCGAGAAGAGGCUGUAGGAGCGUCCCUUUCUCCCACAUUUGUCCUCCUGGGGAAGGUACACCACCGAGCCAUCCUUAGUGACUGCCGUGGCCAUGCCGGCAGCUUGGUGACGG